rnacentral:rRNA from 1 species
AGAGUUUGAUCCUGGCUCAGGAUGAACGCUAGCGGGAGGCCUAACACAUGCAAGCUGAGCGGUAGAGUUUCUUCGGAGACUUGAGAGCGGCGUACGGGUGCGGAACACGUGUGCAACCUGCCUUUAUCAGGGGGAUAGCCUUUCGAAAGGAAGAUUAAUACCCCAUAAUAUAUAGAGUGGCAUCAUUUUAUAUUGAAAACUGAGGUGGAUAAAGAUGGGCACGCGCAAGAUUAGAUAGUUGGUGAGGUAACGGCUCACCAAGUCGAUGAUCUUUAGGGGGCCUGAGAGGGUGAUCCCCCACACUGGUACUGAGACACGGACCAGACUCCUACGGGAGGCAGCAGUGAGGAAUAUUGGACAAUGGGUUAGCGCCUGAUCCAGCCAUCCCGCGUGAAGGACGACGGCCCUAUGGGUUGUAAACUUCUUUUGUACAGGGAUAAACCUAUUUACGUGUAAAUAGCUGAAGGUACUGUACGAAUAAGCACCGGCUAACUCCGUGCCAGCAGCCGCGGU